rnacentral:rRNA from 1 species
AGAGAUGUGUGAUGACGCAUAUCAAUAAGCGGAGGAAAAGAAACUAACAAGGAUUCCCUUAGUAACGGCGAGUGAAGCGGGAAGAGCUCAAAUCUGAAAUCUUCAAGGUUCUACCUUGACGAAUUGUAGUUUAUAAGAAGUGUUUUCUGUUAGUGGAGUGGCAAAAGUUCUUCGGAAUAGGACAUCAUAGAGGGUGAGAAUCCCGUAUUUGGUCAUUCCUCCUAGCUUUGUGAUACACUUUCAACGAGUCGGAUUGUUUGGGAAUGCAGUCCAAAAUGGGUGGUAAAUUUCAUCUAAAGCUAAAUAUUGGCGAGAGACCGAUAGCGAACAAGUACCGUGAGGGAAAGAUGAGAAGAACUUUGAAAAGAGAGUUAAACAGUACGUGAAAUUGUCAAAAGGGAAGCGUUUGACACCAGUGUUGUUUUUCCGAAAAUCAAUUACGAAUGUUUUGUUUUUGAGGAGUUAUGACUUCAUCGGCUUGCUCCUUUCUUUAUGAAACUUUCUUAAUGCACUUUUCGGUUAACAAGUCAACAUCAAUUUCUUUUGUUGUAAAAGGGUAUGAGGAAGGUGGCUUUCUUUUCGGAGAAAGUGUUUAUAGCCUUGUGCCUCUGCAAUCGGAGAGAUUGAGGUCUGCAGCGUAGAUCCUUCGGGGUUAGAUACGUUUGUGCUAAGUUAUAGCUUUUCAUAGACAACUUGUUGACUAUGUUUAGUCUUGUAGCUUACUCGCUUAUGCUAUUUUACCUACGCUUAGGAUGUUGACGCAUGAGAUAUACGC